rnacentral:piRNA from 1 species
UGAGCAGAUGCGGCAGAACCUAGGUUU